rnacentral:lncRNA from 1 species
CCGGGCGGGCACGCAGGUGGCCGCCGGGUCGGCCGGCCCGCACUCCCUGGGUGGUUGCGAGUCCCUCGGCCUCUGGCCCCCGGCCCAGGCAGCCCCGGCGGGCGGCGGGGCAGGGCGGUAAUUGCCCCGAGACGCGGCGCUUAUCCGGGCGCGUUGUGCAAGGCCGCGCGAGCAGAACCUGGGGCAGCGGCUCUCACGCUCGGCUCCGGGCCCGCGGGCCGUCCGCCUCCGUCCUCGCGGGGACCUUCCGCCGCCUGGUGAGCGGGACCCACGCCGCGGGCGCCCGCCGAUGCCACGCGGAAAUGGUGUGCGCAGUGGUCCCCUCCACUGCCCCUCAACACUGGAUUCAGACCGCGGACUAGAUUCCAGUUGCUUCUGCCACUGAUGAGUUCUAGAUGGCCUUGGGAAAUUUACUUGCCUCCUCCAGUCUUGGGCUUCCUCUCUUCCAGUUAAAUGAUGACAACUGAGAAAGUAAGAGAAGACAUAACUGCUUCCGACCCAGCCACUGCCCUCUUAGGGAUGUGUUUCCCUGUGGCUUCCAUGACUACAAGUGCCCUGGUUUUCUUUCUGUCUCUUAAGAGUCUUGACGCUUUAGAGAAGAAACUUGGUGACUGCACCCUCUCCAUCUUCAGAUACCAGCAGCCACGUGGAGCCCAUACCUCUCUCUGUGGAUUGUGUUUACUGGAAACCGCCACUGAGAUGGGGCCGCACAGUAACCUCACAUUCAUUGAACAUGUCCCAAGUUGAACACUGUCAUCUUCCUCUUCCAAAGCCACACAGCCACUCUGGGUUCUGUAUAACCUGGUCAUAGAAGAUGGAAUUAUCCUCAAGUAUUUCUUCUACACCCCCCACCCCCGCCACCACCACCACCAGGGCUGUCCUUAAACGACCCUUCAGAUUCCCAAUUGCACCAUUUCGGUCCUAGCCCUAAUCACUGCCAUAUUAGUCACAAGGAAGAUGGCAGCAGCCUCCUAACUUGUCUCUCUCCCAUCUCAGCGACUCUGAUCCACUCUGUGCUGGGUGCCAGAGUGCACUUUCUAGAACAUUUCGUCAUUCUGCUAUGAUCUGAAUGCUUACCUUGCCCCCAGGGUUACACAUUGAAACCCCAACCCAAAGUGAUGGCACUAGGAAGUGAGGCUUUGGGGGAAAUGACCAGUGUCCUUAUAACAUAAGCUCAAGGGAGCUCAUUACCCCUUCCGCCUUUGGGGAAGACUAGGAGAAGUCACAAAGUGUGAAUUAAGAAAGAGCACUCAUUCUACUUAGCACCCUGAUGCCAAAUUCCCAGCCUCAAAAUGAUGAGAAACAUUUCUAUUGUUUAUAAGUCACCCAGUUAUGGCGUUUUGUUACUGCUUUCCUCCUCUCCUCCAGCUGGCCUCCAGACUGUACUGUCACUUACCUGCCCUCCAGACUGUAGCCACAUGGAACCUACUUCUGCUCUCAGCAUGUCAUGAUGCUGGUAUUAGUGUUCAGGCAUCUGUACUGGCCUGUCCUUUGGGUCCUGACAGGAUAAGCCCACAGCUGCAGCCACCAAGAGCACCACCUGUGCAUAGUCACUAUAUUCCUUUUUAAAAGGGCCCUGCCACCUCCCAUCCUUCUCUCCCUCUUUCUGUUCCCCUCUCUUUCCCCCCUCUUUCCUCUCUCUCCCCCUUUGCUUUCUCUCUCCUGCUGCUCCUGUCUCCAGAAGACAGUCUCUCCCCUUCCCUUUCCCCCUUUUAUGAUCCCUUUCCCUAAUAAAAACCCCUCUGUUUGAACCUGUCACACAGAGUCUUUCUCUCACACACCACUUUUCUUAAAUUACAAUAGGCAGGGGGCUGGAGAGAUGGCUCAGAGGUUAAGAGCUCCGACCCCUCUUCCAGAGGUCCUGAGUUCAAUUCUCAGCAACCACAUGGUGGUGGCUCACAACCAUCUGUAAUGAGAUCUGGUGCCCUCUUCUGGUGUGCAGAUAUACAUGGAAGCAGAAUGUUGUAUACAUAAUAAAUAAAAUUUUAAAAAAGAACAUUUAAAAAA